ensembl:lncRNA
UCUCUCUCUCUCUCUCUCUCUCUCUCUGUAGGUCGACGUCUGGUCAUAGGAGAAAGAGGAGAUACAGAUCAGGUAAAGAAGACCCGAAGAACAAACUGAAAGACAAAACCAGAAAGAGGUCCCCAUUAGAGUCCCCCAGUAGGACGUCUCAGCGUAGAGGCAGCUGCUGUAGCUCCCACAGUGCAUCACUCUCCUCCACAGGCCACAGCCCCUCCAAGUCCCUCGGCAGGCCCAACUCCAAGCACAAGACAGAAGGACACAAGGCCUGUGUGAGCCCUUCCCCGUCUCCCGGUCCUGACGGUCCUGUCACGUGGCACAACGGGCACCACCACCAAAGCGACCGCGGCUGCAACGGCAAGGCGGGCAGACUCAACAGCCACGCGGUCGAGGAGGACAAGGAGCAAGAUAAGCUGAGAAUGCUGACUGCUGUUUCUCCGGGAGCCCAGUCGACCAUGAUACUGCCACAACUGAGAGGAGGAGAGAACAAGGCCCACACUGCCCUCUACAGGGCCCCAGGAAGUACUGCUGCCCAGGCUGGAGAGGCCCUACAUGGGGAGGACAGGCAGACUACGGACCUGGGGUCGUCAGGGAGAUGGGGAGGUCACAGAGGUCACAGAGUCCAGGGGAAGCGCUCCCAUUCGCCGACUCACAGCAGUGACUCCGCCCACUCUCAACAUAACCUGCAUCCUCACAGAGAAAAGAGCUCUCACCAGAAGAAGACUAAAAGAUCCCACUCUUCCAAGCGUCACCGCCGUGGGGGUCGGGGACAGGCCCAUCACCAGAGGCUGUCUGCAUCCCCAGGGCGGCACCACCAUGCGUCUGGGUCAGGCACCAAGAAGAGUGAGUCUCGGGGGCGGGGCGGUGUCGGUGUCCGCCAGCGCAGCAGCUCCUGGAGCUCAGGACGGUCCUCAUCAUGCUCUGCCUCCAGAGAGAGAGCCCCCAGCAAGGCCAAGUCCCUCCACAUCCAUGCCAGACAGAACAAUUCCAGUUUUUCCGCUAAGGACAGAGAUAGUCCUCACCACUCUGACGCUGACCGUGCUCACCGUCGUUCCAGGAGCUACUCUCCCAUCAGGAAGAGGAGACGAGACUCUCCCAGCUUCAUGGAGGCUCGCAGGAUCACCAGCGCUCGGAAGCGGCCUAUCCCGUACUACCGCCCCAGCCCUUCCUCCUCCAGUUCCAUGUCAAGCCCCUCCCAUUCAGGGAGGAGUCGCAGCCGCAGCUACAGCUGCAGUCACAGCCACACCAGGAGCCACAGCCGCUCACGCAGCCCCAGGAGCCACAGCCGCUCACGCAGCCCCAGGAGCCACAGCAACUACAGUCGCAGCAGCUAUGAAAGCCCCGGCUUCUGAUGAGAGAGAGACAGAGAGAGGGGGAGUUGGGGGGGGAGAGAGAGAGAGAUAGAUGGGGGAGAACAGCAGGAGAGAUUGAGGGAGAGAGAGGGGGAGGGAGAUAAAUCAUGUUAUGCGUCCCUGAUUGGUCCAAACACAGGGUCAGACCUUCUCUGUUUUUUCUACCAUCCUCAGUCUCCAUCUCUGAAUACCAGCGUUAACCAGAGCCUGGAUCUGAAAUAUCCAUUUGUCUUCACACAGGCACAAUUUAAAAUAACAUUUUUCAGAUCAUGCUUUUAGAAAAUAAUUGAUAAAGAACUAUUCUGUAAGCACUUUCUCUAUAUGUUUCUGCAUAGCAAAAGUAAACCCCCCAAAAAAAAAAAAAAUGUUCCAGCAUUGGGACACUUCCACGGAGUUUGUCAAAGAAGAUGAAAAGAAGAGAUACAAGUGAAAGAAAUCAAAUCAAAUCAAACAGCACUGGGAAAUUCUUCCUCCAAUGUCAUGACGUAAUUUCCCCAAAGACACUUAUGCUUAGGAACCAGAGAGAUCAAAACAGAUGCGAUAAAGAACAAAAGAAAAGAUGGCUGAUGAUUUAGCAUGCAGAAGGGAACUGAUAUAUCAGGAUGUAUAGAUGAUUCUAAACUGUAAGUUCUGGCUUGUAAACUAUGCACUGUAUAUUCUAUGUGAUUUUUUUUGGAAGAGGCUUGUUAUUUGAUGGUGACUUCGCAUGAUGAUGCAACAGAAAGGAGGAAGACUGCUGCUUGUACCAGAGAGCUGCCUGCGACUACAGGACUACAGGUCCCAGGGUGCAUCUGUCCCUGCCCCUGCCACUACAGGACUACAGGUCCCAGGGUGCAUCUGUCCCUGCCCCUGCCACCACAGGACUACAGGUCCCAGGGUGCAUCAGUCCCUGCACCUGCUAUUACAGGACUACAGGUCCCAGGGUGCAUCUGUCCCUGCCCCUGCCACUACAGGACUACAGGUCCCAGGGUGCAUCUGUCCCUGCCCCUGCCACUACAUGGCUACAGGUCCCAGGGUGCAUCUGUCCCUGCCCCUGCCACUACAGGACUACAGGUCCCAGGGUGCAUCUGUCCCUCCCCCUGCCAUUAUAGGACUACAGGUCCCAGGGUGCAUCUGUCCCUGCCCCUAUUCUGACUUGGGGCACAUUCAGAUAGAAGUAUGCUAUGUAGAACAAACAUGGAUCUCUGAGAUGUAGAAUAAGGAAUCACGUCGGCCCUAUUUGUGGUAUUUAUAUCUGAAACGAUCGAGAACAUUUUGUUACCGAACAUGGCCCUGACAUUCCUGACCUGUAAUCACACACUGAGGCAAAAAAAAAACAAGGGACAGAUGUUUGAUUAUCAUGUACUUUUUCCUCUCUUCCUUAUUCCACUAUUUAUUAUGUCCAGACCUCUUGCUCAAUGACCAGUGAUGUGAAGUCGCUCUGGAAAGAUGCUCUUUCUAAAGAUAUUUUCUGCAAAAGCAUCCAUGCGAUCAUGUGGGUCUAUCUUUUAUCCACAGCUAUUUGUUCAGUUAUUUAUUCCAAUUAUUUAUCUAUUUCUUAUGUUAUUUAUUUGUUUAUUUAUUUGAUUAUUUAUUUGUUUUUUUGUCUCAUCGAAUGUUUUUAAAAACACUUUGAAGAACCGUGUUGUUGAGAUCUUAAUAUUUAAUGGGAGAUAGAAUUGCUGCAUAUGAACACGUUUUCAUCUAUGAACAAACAGAACGUCAAUUGUUUUAACCCAAAUCCUUUUUUUUGUCAUGAAAACUUCUGCUUCCUUUAAUAGCUUGUUGCUAUGGGGACCGGGUUUUCAAUCCCUUGAUGUAUAAUGCUCUUACACAGGGUUACUUAGAGGGACUGUUACCUGUCUGUCUGUCUCCUGGUGCAGGGGAUGCCUAGUUACAGUCUUAGAGGGGCUGUUACCUGUCUGUCUGUCUCCUGGUGCAGGGGAUGCCUAGUUACAGUCUUAGAGGGGCUGUUACCUGUC